rnacentral:hammerhead_ribozyme from 1 species
AUCCAGCUGACCUGUCCCAAAUAGAACGAAACGCGCAUCCUGGAU